rnacentral:rRNA from 1 species
GGGUCAGUAGGUUGGUCGUGCCACCGGUACGUACUGGUCUCACUGAUUCCUCCUUCCUGAAGAACCGUAACGCCAUUAAUUUGGUGUUGCGGGGAAACAGGGCUGUUACUUUGAAAAAAUUAGAGUGUUUAAAGCAAGCUAACGCUUGAAUACAUUAGCAUGGAAUAAUGAAAUAGGACGAUCGAUCCUAUUUUGUUGGUUUCUAGGAUUGACGUA